AGUCAAGUAAUUAAGUGCAUGUGGUGGAUGCCUUGGCAGUCAGAGGCGAUGAAAGACGUGAUAGCCUGCGAAAAGCUCCGGGGAGGCGGCAAAUAUCCUUUGAUCCGGAGAUGUCUGAAUGGGGGAACCCACCUACUUUAAGGUAGGUAUUGCAACAUGAAUACAUAGUGUUGCAAGGCGAACGAGGGGAAGUGAAACAUCUCAGUACCCUUAGGAAAAGAAAUCAAUUGAGAUUCCCUCAGUAGCGGCGAGCGAACGGGGAUCAGCCCAUUAAGUUAUGUGUGUUUUAGUGGAACGCUCUGGGAAGUGCGAACGUAGAGGGUGAUAUUCCCGUACACGAAAGGGCACACAUAAUGAUGACGAGUAGGGCGAGGCACGUGAAACCUUGUCUGAAUAUGGGGGGACCAUCCUCCAAGGCUAAAUACUCCUGACUGACCGAUAGUGAACCAGUACCGUGAGGGAAAGGCGAAAAGAACCCCUGUGAGGGGAGUGAAAUAGAUCCUGAAACCGCAUGCAUACAAGCAGUGGGAGCACCUUCGUGGUGUGACUGCGUACCUUUUGUAUAAUGGGUCAGCGACUUAUAUUCAGUAGCAAGGUUAACCGUAUAGGGGAGCCGUAGAGAAAUCGAGUCUUAAUAGGGCGUUUAGUUGCUGGGUAUAGACCCGAAACCAGGCGAUCUAUCCAUGAGCAGGUUGAAGGUUGGGUAACACUAACUGGAGGACCGAACCCACUGUCGUUGAAAAGCCAGGGGAUGACUUGUGGAUAGGGGUGAAAGGCUAAUCAAGCCUGGUGAUAGCUGGUUCUCCCCGAAAGCUAUUUAGGUAGCGCCUCGGACGAAUACCAUAGGGGGUAGAGCACUGUUUCGGCUAGGGGGUCAUCCCGACUUACCAAACCGAUGCAAACUCCGAAUACCUAUGAGUACUAUCCGGGAGACAGACUGCGGGUGCUAACGUCCGUAGUCAAGAGGAAAACAAUCCAGACCGCCAGCUAAGGCCCCAAAAUCAUAGUUAAGUGGGAAACGAUGUGGGAAGGCAUAGACAGCUAGGAGGUUGGCUUAGAAGCAGCCACCCUUUAAAGAAAGCGUAAUAGCUCACUAGUCGAGUCGGCCUGCGCGGAAGAUGUAACGGGGCUAAAACUAUGUGCCGAAGCUGCGGAUAUUGACAUUAGUCAAGUGGUAGGGGAGCGUUCUGUAAGCCGAUGAAGGUGUGUUGAGAAGCAUGCUGGAGGUAUCAGAAGUGCGAAUGCUGACGUGAGUAACGACAAAACGGGUGAAAAACCCGUUCGCCGAAAGACCAAGGGUUCCAGUCCAACGUUAAUCGGGGCUGGGUGAGUCGACCCCUAAGGCGAGGCCGAAAGGCGUAGUCGAUGGGAAAAUGGUUAAUAUUCCAUUACUUCUGUGUAAUGCGAUGAGAGGACGGAGAAGGCUAAAUCAGCCUGGCGUUGGUUGUCCAGGUGAAAGGAUGUAGGCAUGUAUCUUAGGUAAAUCCGGGGUACUCUAUGCUGAGAUCUGAUAGCAAGCUGUACUUGUACAGCGAAGUGGUUGAUGCCAUGCUUCCAGGAAAAGUCUCUAAGCUUCAGUUACACAGGAAUCGUACCCGAAACCGACACAGGUGGUCAGGUCGAGUAGACCAAGGCGCUUGAGAGAACUCUGCUGAAGGAACUAGGCAAAAUGGUACCGUAACUUCGGGAGAAGGUACGCUGUUGUUGGUGAUGGAACUCGCUUCCUGAGCUGACGACAGCCGCAGAAACCAGGCCGCUGCAACUGUUUAUUAAAAACAUAGCACUCUGCAAACACGAAAGUGGACGUAUAGGGUGUGAUGCCUGCCCGGUGCUGGAAGGUUAAUUGAUGGGGUUAGCGUAAGCGAAGCUCUUGAUCGAAGCCCCAGUAAACGGCGGCCGUAACUAUAACGGUCCUAAGGUAGCGAAAUUCCUUGUCGGGUAAGUUCCGACCUGCACGAAUGGCAUAAUGAUGGCGGCGCUGUCUCCAGCAGAGGCUCAGUGAAAUCGAAAUCGCUGUGAAGAUGCAGUGUACCCGCGGCUAGACGGAAAGACCCCGUGAACCUUUACUGCAGCUUGACACUGAACUUUGACCUUACUUGUGUAGGAUAGGUGGGAGGCUUUGAAGCUGGAACGCUAGUUCCAGUGGAGCCGUCCUUGAAAUACCACCCUGGUAAUGUUGAGGUUCUAACUCUGUCCCGUGAUCCGGGACGAGGACCGUGUCUGGUGGGUAGUUUGACUGGGGCGGUCUCCUCCUAAAGAGUAACGGAGGAGUACGAAGGUGCGCUCAGCGUGGUCGGAAAUCACGCGUAGAGUAUAAAGGCAAAAGCGCGCUUAACUGCGAGACCCACAAGUCGAGCAGGUACGAAAGUAGGUCUUAGUGAUCCGGUGGUUCUGUAUGGAAGGGCCAUCGCUCAACGGAUAAAAGGUACUCUGGGGAUAACAGGCUGAUACCGCCCAAGAGUUCAUAUCGACGGCGGUGUUUGGCACCUCGAUGUCGGCUCAUCUCAUCCUGGGGCUGAAGCAGGUCCCAAGGGUAUGGCUGUUCGCCAUUUAAAGAGGUACGCGAGCUGGGUUUAGAACGUCGUGAGACAGUUCGGUCCCUAUCUACCGUGGGCGCUGGAAAUUUGAGAGGAUCUGCUCCUAGUACGAGAGGACCAGAGUGGACGAACCUCUGGUGUACCGGUUGUGACGCCAGUCGCAUCGCCGGGUAGCUAUGUUCGGAAGGGAUAACCGCUGAAAGCAUCUAAGCGGGAAGCCUACCUCAAGAUAAGAUUUCCCUAGGACUUUAUGUCCUCUAAAGAGCCGUUCGAGACUAGGACGUUGAUAGGUUGGAUGUGGAAGCAUAGUGAUAUGUGAAGCUGACCAAUACUAAUUGCUCGUGAGGCUUGACUAU
rnacentral:rRNA from 1 species